GGGGAAUAUUGGACAAUGGGCGAAAGCCUGAUCCAGCAAUACCGAGUGAGUGAUGAAGGCCUUAGGGUUGUAAAGCUCUUUUAGCAAGGAAGAUAAUGACGUUACUUGCAGAAAAAGCCCCGGCUAACUCCGUGCCAGCAGCCGCGGUAAGACGGAGGGGGCUAGCGUUGUUCGGAAUUACUGGGCGUAAAGAGUGCGUAGGCGGUUUAGUAAGUUGGAAGUGAAAGCCCGGGGCUUAACCUCGGAAUUGCUUUCAAAACUACUAAUCUAGAGUGUAGUAGGGGAUGAUGGAAUUCCUAGUGUAGAGGUGAAAUUCUUAGAUAUUAGGAGGAACACCGGUGGCGAAGGCGAUCAUCUGGGCUACAACUGACGCUGAUGCACGAAAGCGUGGGGAGCAAAC
rnacentral:rRNA from 1 species